GAGAGACUCUCAUCUGGACAGAUGUCGUCAUCUUGUUUAGUAUAAUUAUGAAAGGGUUGUCCCAUCAGCGUGGCUGUGUCCUAUUGGUAAUCCCGUCACACUCUAAGGGUGAAGACUGCACGAAGUCAUGAACACCAGAAGGCAGGAAUGAUGGAAGCUCUCCAAGAGUCUCUCCUGAAUAAUCUCACUGCACAUCUUGAUCAAGACCAGGAGCGAGGAUACACAGCCAGUGCUUCAUGAGUGGACUGAAGAGAAAAGGCAUCCAGCUGCACGGAGUGGGGAUGGGAUUGAGGCACUAACACCCACUUCAGGGGCACCAGGUGUCACUAAUAAUUAAGAUUAUCUGUGGUAUAAAUCCGGCUGUUUCGGAGCGUUCCCUACAACCACUUUGGGAUCCAGCGUUCCGGCGUCCGGGUCUCGAAAUGUGAUGUCACAGAGGAGCUGAGGAGCUGUCUUCCUCAAACCUUACCUGGAGAAGGUUGUGUUGUAUAUAUAGCAAAUUCUACUUUGAUCCAAGCACAAAGGAAAAGUGAUUUCUUUCUCAUCCUUAACUGGGAGCCAUCUGGAUGGAGGACGAAGGGCGUGAGGAGGAAAGCUGCACUCCUUCCCCAUGGUGUUUGGAGCCCAUUACCCUGAGGCCUGCAAGAGCAGCCCCAAUGUGUCACUUGCCUCCCACACAUCCCCACAUGGUUUCCUUCACUCUCCAAAGCAGACAGCUUUCAUUUUCUUUUCCAAAAAAAUGAAGUUUUAAAGGUCAACUACAUGGAGCGACUAUAUGGGUUCUUGAAUAGCUGCUUCUUGAAAGAAGAAAAGCAAUCUGUGUUUUUGUCUUUGAAAAUAUAUUUCUUCUAUUUUCUUAAGUCUUCUGUAUUGCAAAUGCUUGACUUCUGAGCAAACCAAAAGCGAACAGGGGCUAAAGUAGUUAAACAUGAGAAUGUGUAGAAUUCUUCUGCCUUCUAUACUUUGUAUUAAUGAUUUUUCUCAGCAAAUGCUGAAAAUUUCUAGUAAAGGGAAAAAACAGGAGAAAGAUUAUCUAGUAAAUCUUCUGUUUUUUAAUAAAUUCCUUAUGCAGUAAAAGACUUGCUAGUAUAAUUCCUAUUUGAAGAAUUGGAGGGGAAGAUCAGAAUUAGAAAAUAAAUAAAAUAUUUGAGUAAAGUCAGAUGCAACUAACCUGUAUUCCAUAACUAUGUGAAAUAGGAUUAAAGCAAAGCCUGGAGUUGAGGUUGAAAUAAUUGAUCUAUAUCCUUGAGAUGCCACUGCUAAAUACAUUUAUCUCAUGUGCAAACGUGCAGGAAGACAACAUUGACUUUUUCUAGACAUUUUCAGAUUGCGUCAUCACCAAGAAGACUAAAAUGACAAGCUGCCAAUAAUGCAAACCCAGACUCUUUUUCCUCCUUUGCUCAUUGCCCCAAAUCUUAGAUAAAUGUAUACCCUCUCUGCUCAGACUCACACUCGCCUAGAAUUUUGUAACGUGAACUCCUCCUGGGUCUCUAUGAAGACCACAAGGACACUGCUUUACACACAUUCCAGGUUCUCACCCUAGAAAACUCAAACUUGAAGGAGAAGAGCAGGAUUGAGGUCCCACCUUAAGAGGUAAAGGGAAAGUGGAGAAUCUAAGUCAGUUAGGGCAGGCCAAGGGGAGCAGCCUUUCCUAUCCCAUUGCUUUCACACAACCCCAAGAAAGGCAGUCACUACUAUCAACCAAGGUGUUGAAGUUUUACUGGGCCUUGUGCUAAUUGGUUGAAAUUUGUACCCAAAGGGGUAAAGAGUCCAGAGUACGUGAAGGAGAUGGCUCUUCUGUCUCUCCUCUCUGGUGCAAUUGCUGAAAGGAUAGCGUAGAAAUAAAAUGAUAGAGGGAGUUGUUUUACUUUUGAGAAGUCUAGCUAUUUUGUUGUAUAUCUCCUGAUUAUCCCCCCCCUUCCUACUCUUUGAUUCCCAUACUACCUCCAAAAUAGGAGGGCUCUUGGAGGUUUGCUAUAGAGCUUGAGGAGGAAUGCCUACUUUGAGAAGGCAAAGCAAGUUCAUGGGGCAAAUUUGUUUCACAAGGGAAUUUCUCUGAGAUUUGAAAAUGAAAUCCCAGCUUGGAAUAAAAACACUCUUCACUUGCUUUUCCCCAUGAUUCUCUUUUUCUUGGAAAAAGAGAAGCGGUAGCUCUAGAACAAGUUUAAAUAGUAUAACACUUUUAUUUUAGCUUUCAAAUGAUGAUAAUUGUACUUGACACUUUUUUUUUUAUUAUUGCAAUCUACCAACAUUAUUUGACUCUUUCCUAUGAGCAAAAUACUGAAUUAGGUUCUGAGAGAAUAUAAAAUAAUCCUACGUCUAAUGAAAUUAUAACAUAGUUGGGAAGGUUAAACAUAGAAAUUGAUACAUUAAAUAAAACAAAAUAGUAUUAAUAACUAGCAUAAAAUUAAAAAAAAACAAAACCCCAAAACAUUUCAGUCAUGCUAAGGAAGAUACUUUCUUUUUCCAUUUAGGGUUAUUAAGGAAAGCUUCUAAAAGCGUGGAGUUUGAGCAAAGUCUUGAUGAAUUGUUAAAAUGCCAGAAGUGAAGGUUACUCUAGUGGUUAUUCCUUGUGAUGAGAAUGACAGAGGAAAGGCAGGGAAAAAAUGGAAAAUAAUGGGUAUUCUCAAACUAAGCAUCAGUUUGAGAAUACUUACUACAGUGGUAGGAGUUAGAACUCAAAACCUGGAAUGGGACCAGAGUAUGGAUCCGAGCCCGUUGCAGCUGAUCCUGAAGAAAUCAAGGUCACUCUUGGCUUUGGAGCUGGGAUUCCUACUGAUAAUGUCCAGCCAUUCAUUGGGAAUGGUGUGCUUGCGGCUUCUCCACAGACCAGGACCACAUUCUCCCUGUUACCUAAAAGCAUCCCUUGUGUGACCUUAAAUCUAUCAAAUACUACUUCCAAAAUGGUCGGAUGUAACUUAAAAUGGACCAUGCCUCGUCUAAACCCUUCAGUGUCUCCUUGAUGCUUACGGAAUAAAGGAAACAUGAUUUCCUGUGACUUCCCAGACCCUUCGGGCCUGGGGUCCUCCCCCCGCUUCAGAGUAACGUUUUGCCAUUCUCCACCUGGGAAGUAAAUGAUACUAUUGGGUGAGAAUCUGAAGAAAAUUCUGAAGUGUGAA